AAAACGACUCUCGACAACGGAUAUCUCGGCUCUCGCAUCGAUGAAGAACGUAGCGAAAUGCGAUACUUGGUGUGAAUUGCAGAAUCCCGUGAACCAUCGAGUCUUUGAACGCAAGUUGCGCCCUAAGCCUUUCGGCCGAGGGCACGUCUGCCUGGG
rnacentral:rRNA from 1 species